rnacentral:antisense_RNA from 1 species
CUUCAGCGAGCCCAGCCACAGCGGACCGGCGUCGCCGCGGUCCCGGCCGUACGUGGCCAGGAUCGCCUGCGCCUC